AGUGAACGCUGGCGGUAGGCCUAACACAUGCAAGUCGAACGGCAGCACAGUAAGAGCUUGCUCUUACGGGUGGCGAGUGGCGGACGGGUGAGGAAUACAUCGGAAUCUACUUUUUCGUGGGGGAUAACGUAGGGAAACUUACGCUAAUACCGCAUACGACCUACGGGUGAAAGCGGGGGAUCUUCGGACCUUGCGCGAUUGAAUGAGCCGAUGUCGGAUUAGCUAGUUGGCGGGGUAAAGGCCCACCAAGGCGACGAUCCGUAGCUGGUCUGAGAGGAUGAUCAGCCACACUGGAACUGAGACACGGUCCAGACUCCUACGGGAGGCAGCAGUGGGGAAUAUUGGACAAUGGGCGCAAGCCUGAUCCAGCCAUACCGCUUGGGUGAAGAAGGCCUUCGGGUUGUAAAGCCCUUUUGUUGGGAAAGAAAAGCAGCAGGUUAAUACCCCGCUGUUCUGACGGUACCCAAAGAAUAAGCACCGGCUAACUUCGUG
rnacentral:rRNA from 1 species